CUCUGUUGUUGUUGCUUCCUCAGUUGUAGUUGUUGGAGCUGUAGUACUUGCAGAUACAGUUGUUUCUACUGUUGUUGGUCCUGUGCUUGUUGUAUCCUGUGUAGUUGAUUCUGUGGUAGUGGUUAGUUCUGCUGUUGCUGCUGUAGUUAAUGUUGUACUUGGAGCUGUAGUUGUUUCCUCUGUAGUUGUUGCUUCCUCAGUUGGAGUAGUUGGAGCUGGAGUAGUUGUAGAUGCAGUUGUUUCUACAGUUGUUGGUUCUGUGCUUGUUGUAACCUGUGUAGUUGAUAGUUCUGUUGUUGGUAUUGUUGUCAGUACAGUUGUACUUGUAGUAGUUUCCUCUGUAGUACUGGGUUCCUGAGUUGUAGUGGUUGGGGCUACAGUUGUUGUAGAUGGUGUUGUUGGUACUGUUGUCAGUACAGUUGUAUCCGUGGUUGUUUCCAGUGUAGUUGUUGCUUCCUCAGUUGGAGCUGGAGUAGUUGUAGAUGCAGUUGUUCCUCCUGUUGUUGUAUCUGCACUUGUUGUAACCUGUGUAUUGAUUGUUCUGUAGUUGGUAUUGUUGUCAGUACAGUUGUAUUUGUAGUAGUUUCGUCUGUGGUACUGGGUUCCUGAGUUGUAGUGGUUGGGGCUAAAAUUGUUGUAGAUGCUGUUGUUGGUACUGUUGUAAGUACAGUUGUAUCUGUAGUUGUUUCCAGUGUUGUUCUUGCUUCCUCAGUUGUAGUUGUUGGAGCUGGAGUAGUUGUAGAUACAGUUGUUUCUACUGUUGUUGGUUCUGUGCUUAUUGUAGCCUGUGUAGUUGAUUCUGUGGUAGUGGUUAGUUCUGUUGUUGCUGCUGUAGUUAAUGUUGUACUUGGAGCUGUAGUUGUUUCCUCUGUAGUUGUUGCUUCCUCAGUUGGAGUAGUUGGAGCUGGAGUAGUUGUAGAUGCAGUUGUUCCUACUGUUGUUGUAACUGCACUUGUUGUAACCUGUGUAGUUGAUAGUUCUGUUGUUGGUAUUGUUGUCAGUACAGUUGUACUUGUAGUAGUUUCCUCUGUAGUACUGGGUUCCUGAGUUGUAGUGGUUGGGGCUACAGUUGUUGUAGAUGCUGUUGUUGGUACUGUUGUAAGUACAGUUGUAUCGGUGGUUGUUUCCAGUGUUGUUGUUGCUUCCUCAGUUGUAGUUGUUGGAGCUGGAGUAAUUGUAGAUACAGUUGUUUCUACUGUUGUUGGUUCUGUGCUUAUUGUAGACUGUGUAGUUGAUUCUGUGGUAGUGGUUAGUUCUGUUGUUGCUGCUGUAGUUAAUGUUGUACUUGGAGCUGUACUUGUUUCCUCUGUAGUUGUUGCUUCCUCAGUUGGAGUACUUGGAGCUGGAGUAGUUGUAGAUGCAGUUGUUCCUACUGUUGUUGGUUCUGCACUUGUUGUAACCUGUGUAGUUGAU
ensembl:lncRNA